rnacentral:rRNA from 1 species
ACGGGAGGCAGCAGUAGGGAAUAUUGCACAAUGGGGGGAACCCUGAUGCAGCAACGCCACGUGUGGGAAGAAGCAUUUCGGUGUGUAAACCUCUGUCGUGAGGGAAUAGUGCUUGGCUCCGGCCAAGUUGAAUGUACCUCGAAAGGAAGCACCGGCAAACUUCGUGCCAGCAGCCGCGGUAAUACGAGGGGUGCAAGCGUUGUUCGGAAUCACUGGGCGUAAAGGGAGCGUAGGCGGAGACGCAAGCAGUCUGUACAAUACCGGGGCCCAACCCCGGACCUGCAGACUGGACUGUGUCUCUUGGAUAGUUCAGGGGCAGGCGGAAUUCCUGGUGUAGCGGUGGAAUGCGUAGAGAUCAGGAAGAACACCGAUGGCGAAGGCAGCCUGCUGGGGACUCAUCGACGCUGAGGCUCGAAAGUGCGGGUAGCAAACAGGAUUAGAUACCCUGGUA